rnacentral:rRNA from 1 species
CAGCAGCCGCGGGAAUACAGAGGGUGCGAGCGUUAAUCGGAUUUACUGGGCGUAAAGCGUGCGUAGGCGGCUAAUUGAGUCGGAUGUGAAAUCCUCGAGCUUAACUUGGGAAUUGCAUUCGAUACUGGUUAGCUAGAGUGUGGGAGAGGAUGGUAGAAUUCCAGGUGUAGCGGUGAAAUGCGUAGAGAUCUGGAGGAAUACCGAUGGCGAAGGCAGCCAUCUGGCCUAACACUGACGCUGAGGUACGAAAGCAUGGGGAGCAAACAGGAUUAGAUACCCGCGUAGUCCCUGUCUCUUAUAC